rnacentral:ncRNA from 1 species
CUUAUCAAGAGAGACUGAGGGAUUUGGCCCUACGACGUCCGGCAACCGGCUUAGCGCGGUGCUACAUCCAACAGGAAACUGGCAGAUAAG